GACGAACGCUGGCGGCGUGCUUAACACAUGCAAGUCGAACGGUGAAGGGACCGGUUUUUGCUGGUUCUGGAUGAGUGGCGAACGGGUGAGUAACACGUGAGUAACCUGCCCCCUUCUUCUGGAUAACCGCAUGAAAGUGUGGCUAAUACGGGAUAUUCUGCGCCUGCUGCAUGGUGGGUGUGGGAAAGAUAUUGUUUCGGUGGGGGAUGGGCUCGCGGCCUAUCAGCUUGUUGGUGGGGUGAUGGCCUACCAAGGCGGUGACGGGUAGCCGGCCUGAGAGGGUGGACGGUCACACUGGGACUGAGACACGGCCCAGACUCCUACGGGAGGCAGCAGUGGGGAAUAUUGCACAAUGGGCGCAAGCCUGAUGCAGCGACGCCGCGUGGGGGAUGGAGGCCUUCGGGUUGUAAACCUCUUUCGCCAGUGAAGCAGGCCUGUCCCUUUUGUGGGUGGGUUGACGGUAGCUGGAUAAGAAGCGCCGGCUAACUACGUG
rnacentral:rRNA from 1 species